AGAGGAAAACUGUGCGCACCCUUUUAAGAAGUGUUUCAGCCAGUGGUCUGACCGCCGCCCCGGCCCGUGCUACGUACUGGAACAGCCGGCCGUUUGCGGUGGGCGACAAGAGUGGUAUAGAAUCGAGGGGAACGUUCGUAUCAAGUUGUCGACCCGACAUGCCAUUGCUACGUCUGCUUUUCUGGGUGACGAGUAUCGUCGUGGUCGCCAGAAUCAACUCCGGCACGGGAAAUCAGCUAUUCGACCUUAGCGAGAACGCCUGCACUGCAGAGUUAUGCAAAUCAAUUGCCUGUCCACCGUUCAACUCCGCGAGGUGUAGAGGUCGAAUCAAGCCGUCUGGGUACUGCAACUGCUGCAACAUUUGUGAGACACCGAUGGGGGGUGAAGGUGAUCCGUGCUCUUAUGGCUGCAUGCCUGGCCUGUCUUGUGUGCCACAACUCGAUAUAUGCGUUAAGGCUCCGCGCACAUAUGAUCAAUAUGGAGACGGAAAUGGUGUGACGAGGGUAACAGCUGCUCCGACAUACGCUUACGCUUCCUCGCGGAAGCCACUGACCAGACUCAAGACGUCCAUCUACAAGCAUAUUCAAUAAAGAACACUAU